rnacentral:rRNA from 1 species
GAUGAACGCUGGCGGCGUGCUUAACACAUGCAAGUCGAACGAAGCACUUUAUUUGAUUUCCUUCGGGACUGAUUAUUUUGUGACUGAGUGGCGGACGGGUGAGUAACGCGUGGGUAACCUGCCUUGUACAGGGGGAUAACAGCUGGAAACGGCUGCUAAUCCCGCAUAAGCGCACAGCAUCGCAUGAUGCAGUGUGAAAAACUCCGGUGGUAUAAGAUGGACCCGCGUUGGAUUAGCUAGUUGGUGAGGUAACGGCCCACCAAGGCGACGAUCCAUAGCCGACCUGAGAGGGUGACCGGCCACAUUGGGGCUGAGACACGGCCCAAACUCCUACGGGAGGCAGCAGUGGGGAAUAUUGCACAAUGGGCGAAAGCCUGAUGCAGCGACGCCGCGUGAGCGAAGAAGUAUUUCGGUAUGUAAAGCUCUAUCAGCAGGGAAGAUAAUGACGGUACCUGACGAAGAAGCACCGGCUAAAUACGUG